UAGAUAUUUGGAGUCUGGGAGUGAUCCUUUUCAUGUUGGUGUGUGGGCAGCCGCCCUUUCAAGAAGCCAAUGACAGUGAAACACUGACAAUGAUCAUGGAUUGCAAAUAUACAGUACCAUCCCAUGUGUCUAAAGAGUGUAAAGACCUAAUCACACGGAUGCUACAGAGAGAUCCCAAGAGAAGGGCUUCUUUAGAAGAGAUUGAAAAUCAUCCUUGGCUUCAGGGAGUGGACCCUUCACCAGCCACAAAGUAUAACAUUCCCCUUGUGUCAUACAAAAAUCUCUCGGAAGAGGAGCACAACAGCAUCAUUCAGCGCAUGGUGCUUGGGGACAUAGCGGAUCGAGACGCCAUUGUAGAGUACGUCAAUGCCUGUCAGCACAGAGGGCCACAGGUUUAGGAUUCUUGGAAUGGGCUCUCUCUACUUAACACAGCCUUUGGACACCUGUAUAAUAGAUAAGAGUUCCCAGUUGGCAAGAGUUGUGUCAUUUAUCUCUAAAGUUCUUGGCCCAGGGCCUGACACAGGUUUUUUUUUGGUGUUUU
rnacentral:sRNA from 1 species